rnacentral:rRNA from 1 species
UGAGCAACCUACCGAAAUGUGGGGAUAGCCGGCCUAACGGCCGAGUAAUACCGCAUACGCUCUCGAUGAGGCAUUUCAUUGAGAGGAAACCUACGGGACAUUUCGAGGGGCUCGCGGCCUAUCAGCUAGUUGGAGAGGUAACGGCUCACCAAGGCAACGACGGGUAGCUGGUCUGAGAGGAUGGCCAGCCACAUUGGGACUGAGAUACGGCCCAGACCUCCGUACGGGAGCA